UCAGGAUGAACGCUAGCGGCAGGCUUAACACAUGCAAGUCAGGGGCAGCGCGAUGUAGCAAUACAUUGGCGGCGACCGGCGGAAGGGUGCGUAACGCGUGAGCAACAUGCCCGUCACAGGGGGAUAAUCCAUGGAAACGUGGUCUAAAACCGCAUAGAUUAUAGAGAAGACAUCUUUUUUAUAAGAAAUCAGCAAUGAGGUGACGGAUUGGCUCGCGUAACAUUAGCCAGUUGGUAGGGUAACGGCCUACCAAAGCGACGAUGUUUAGGGGUCCUGAGAGGGAGGUCCCCCACACUGGAACUGAGACACGGUCCAGACUCCUACGGGAGGCAGCAGUGAGGAAUAUUGGACAAUGGAUGGAAAUCUGAUCCAGCCAUGCCGCGUGCGGGAUGACGGCCCUAUGGGUUGUAAACCGCUUUUGUACGGGAGCAAUAAGGUGUACGCGUACACCGAUGAGAGUACUGUACGAAUAAGCAUCGGCUAACUCCGUGCC
rnacentral:rRNA from 1 species